CCUACGGGAGGCUGCAGUGAGGAAUAUUGGUCAAUGGACGAGAGUCUGAACCAGCCAAGUAGCGUGAAGGAUGACUGCCCUAUGGGUUGUAAACUUCUUUUAUAUAGGAAUAAAACACGGCACGUAUGCCUUUUUGCAUGUACUUUAUGAAUAAGGAUCGGCUAACUCCGUGCCAGCAGCCGCGGUAAUACGGAGGAUCCGAGCGUUAUCCGGUUUUAUUGGGUUUAAAGGGAGCGUAGGUGGAUUGUUAAGUCAGUUGUGAAAGUUUGCGGCUCAACCGUAGAAUUGCAGUUGAAACUGGUAGUCUGGAGUAUAGUAGAGGUGGGCGUAAUUCGUGGUGUAGCGGUAAAAUCCUUAGAUAUCACGAAGAACUCCGAUUGCGAAGGCAGCUCACUGGACUGCAACUGACACUGAUGCUCGAAAGUGUGGGUAUCAAACAGGAUUAGAUACCCUAGUAGUC
rnacentral:rRNA from 1 species